rnacentral:rRNA from 1 species
CUUCCGGUUUUAACGUUGGUUUGUUAUGCAGUCGAGCGGAAACGAUGAUAGCUUGCUAUCAGGCGUCGAGCGGCGGACGGGUGAGUAAUACUUAGGAAUCUACCUAGUAGUGGGGGAUAGCUCGGGGAAACUCGAAUUAAUACCGCAUACGUCCUACGGGAGAAAGGGGGCAACUUGUUGCUCUCGCUAUUAGAUGAGCCUAAGUCGGAUUAGCUAGAUGGUGGGGUAAAGGCCUACCAUGGCGACGAUCUGUAGCUGGUCUGAGAGGAUGAUCAGCCACACCGGGACUGAGACACGGCCCGGACUCCUACGGGAGGCAGCAGUGGGGAAUAUUGGACAAUGGGGGGAACCCUGAUCCAGCCAUGCCGCGUGUGUGAAGAAGGCCUUUUGGUUGUAAAGCACUUUAAGCAGUGAAGAAGACUCUUCGGUUAAUACCCGGGGACGAUGACAUUAGCUGCAGAAUAAGCACCGGCUAACUCUGUGCCAGCAGCCGCGGUAAUACAGAGGGUGCAAGCGUUAAUCGGAAUUACUGGGCGUAAAGCGAGCGUAGGUGGCUUGAUAAGUCAGAUGUGAAAUCCCCGGGCUUAACCUGGGAACUGCAUCUGAAACUGUUAGGCUAGAGUAGGUGAGAGGGAAGUAGAAUUUCAGGUGUAG